GUGGUAAUGCCGGAUGCUCCAUCACACUGCAUGGUGUGUUGGGAAAGCCUUUGCGGCAUGGGAUGGGGUCGCGUCCUAUCAGCUUGAUGGCGGGGUAACGGCCCACCAUGGCUUCGACGGGUAGCCGGCCUGAGAGGGCGACCGGCCACAUUGGGACUGAGAUACGGCCCAGACUCCUACGGGAGGCAGCAGUGGGGAAUAUUGCACAAUGGGCGCAAGCCUGAUGCAGCGACGCCGCGUGAGGGAUGGAGGCCUUCGGGUUGUAAACCUCUUUUGUUAGGGAGCAAGGCAUUUUGUGUUGAGUGUACCUUUCGAAUAAGCACCGGCUAACUACGUGCCAGCAGCCGCGGUAAUACGUAGGGUGCAAGCGUUAUCCGGAAUUAUUGGGCGUAAAGGGCUCGUAGGCGGUUCGUCGCGUCCGGUGUGAAAGUCCAUCGCUUAACGGUGGAUCCGCGCCGGGUACGGGCGGGCUUGAGUGCGGUAGGGGAGACUGGAAUUCCCGGUGUAACGGUGGAAUGUGUAGAUAUC
rnacentral:rRNA from 1 species